GAAAGAGGAGGAGAAAGGAGAGGAGGAAAAGGAGGAAGAAGAGAAGGAGAAGACCAGUCACUUCACAGAGUCAUUUAAGGUUUAGAGUUUAUCUAAAGUACCCAGGUGGAAGGGGUCCAUGUCAACCUGGGAUAAGAGAAAAGGGCUGACUUCUCCUACCAGCGUUGCUCAUUCACAGUUCAGAUGACACUGACAAAGGAACGGAGAACAUUAGAUUCAUGGCCUCAUUUUUUUUUUCCUGAUUGCUGUUACAUGCUUUAAAAAGCACAAAUCUGAGCAGGGUGGUGGUGGCGCAUGCCUUUAAUCCCAGCACUCGGAAGGCAGAACCAGGCAGAUCUCUGUGAGUUCCAGGCCAGCGUGGUCUACAUGAGCGAGAUCCAGGACGGGCACCAAAGCUACACAGAGAAACCCUGUCUCAAAACCCUCUCCCUCCCCCUCAAAAAAGUGCAAAUCUUUUACAAUUCAA